rnacentral:rRNA from 1 species
GAUGAACGCUGGCGGCGUGCCUAAUACAUGCAAGUCGAGCGAACGGACGAGAAGCUUGCUUCUCUGAUGUUAGCGGCGGACGGGUGAGUAACACGUGGAUAACCUACCUAUAAGACUGGGAUAACUUCGGGAAACCGGAGCUAAUACCGGAUAAUAUUUUGAACCGCAUGGUUCAAAAGUGAAAGACGGUCUUGCUGUCACUUAUAGAUGGAUCCGCGCUGCAUUAGCUAGUUGGUAAGGUAACGGCUUACCAAGGCAACGAUGCAUAGCCGACCUGAGAGGGUGAGCGGCCACACUGGAACUGAGACACGGGCCAGACUCCGACGGGAGGCAGCAGUAGGGAAUCUUCCGCAAUGGGCGAAAGCCUGACGGAGCAACGCCGGGUGAGUGAUGAAGGUCUUCGGAUCGUAAAACUCUGUUAUUAGGGAAGAAAAAAUGUGUAAGUACCUAUGCACGUCUUGACGGUACCUAAUCAGAAAGCCACGGCUAACUACGUG